AAUUUCACUCUCAAGAGAGUGUUUUGAUUAUGCUAAGUUAGAUCAAUGAGUAGGGACGGUGUAUCUCUAAAGACGUUUUAGUUUUUUUGUUUUUUCAUAGGAGCUCCUACUUUCAAGAAUGAAAAAGGGCUGAAGCAGUGCCUACUCGAUAGAAUCAGUCAUCAUGCAAAUAAAUGCCACCUGAGUCAAAGGCAAAGCCAACGUGCAGCUUGGAGCAAAGAAGUUAAAAGAAUAUUGGCAGAGGAAGAGCCCUGGCGUUCCAGCAGGAGCUAACAGGAAAAAGAAAAUCAAUGGCAGUAGCCCUGACACAGCCACUUCUGGUGGUCACCGCUCACCUGUGGAUUCAGCAACAGGUGUCUAUAGGGAGGGCCCUGUGUCAUCUACUACCCUGAAAGAUCUAGAGGUUCGCACAUUGAAGGAGGAGAAGAAGCGUGAGAUACAUCGGGUACAGAAGCUUGGGAGGAGCUUGUUCAAACUCAAACACCAGAGGGGUAAGAUGGGGCUGGCAUGACCUGGGAGCAGGACUGGCAUCAGAGGACUGUGGGGGUGGCUUAGAACGCCCCAGGGAGGUGGGUGGAUGGAAGGGCUUUGAGGCAGAGGGAGAGAGGUCUGUGCCAGGAGAGCUGCAGGCCUUGUCAUCUGCUUGAGCCUUGGUGUCCCCAUCAGCAAAGAGGGAGGAGUGCCCAUUGUCAGCCACCCACAGUGCUCUCCAUUGAAAGUGGCUUGGAAGAUUAGCUACCAUCUGGGUGCGAGGAAUCCUUAGCAGUGAGGCAAGUUUGGGAAGCCUGAGAGGAGGAGCUCUGCACCAAUGGAGAUUUUUUUUUUUUUUGAGAAUCCGAGAGACCCUUAUGUCUGUUUCCUUUCUAGCUAAACCCAGGGCCCAG
rnacentral:lncRNA from 1 species